CGCGUAGGCGGAUUGUUAAGUCGGGGGUGAAAUCCCGGGGCUCAACCCCGGAACUGCCUCCGAUACUGGCAGUCUGGAGUCCGAGAGAGGUGAGUGGAAUUCCGAGUGUAGAGGUGAAAUUCGUAGAUAUUCGGAGGAACACCAGUGGCGAAGGCGGCUCACUGGCUCGGUACUGACGCUGAGGUGCGAAAGCGUGGGGAGCAAACA
rnacentral:rRNA from 1 species